CGCACGGUGGCUUAUUGGUUAGCACUUUCGCCUCACACUUCUGGGGUCUGGGGUUCGAUUCCCGCCGGUGUGC